rnacentral:rRNA from 1 species
CGAAGGCGUCAAACGUUGUCCGGAAUAACUGGGCGUAAAGGGCGCGUAGGCGGUCGGGUAAGUGGGAUGUGAAAGCUCUGGGCUCAACCCAGGAAUUGCAUUCCUUACUGCUCGACUUGAGUUCGGUAGAGGAGGGCGGAAUUCCAGGUGUAGCGGUGAAAUGCGUAGAUAUCUGGAGGAACACCCGUGGCGAGGGCGGCUCUCUGGUCCGAUACUGACGCUGAGGCGCGAAAGCUAGGGUAGCAAACAGGAUUAGAUACCCUGGUAGUCCUAGCUGUAAACGGUGAGUACUAGGUGUUGGAGGUAUUGACCCCUUCAGUGCCGAAGCUAACGCAUUAAGUACUCCGCCUGGGAACUACGGCCGCAAGGCUG